AUUGAACGCUGGCGGCAGGCUUAACACAUGCAAGUCGAGCGGAGAUGAGGUGCUUGCACCUUAUCUUAGCGGCGGACGGGUGAGUAAUGCUUAGGAAUCUGCCUAUUAGUGGGGGACAACAUUCCGAAAGGAAUGCUAAUACCGCAUACGUCCUACGGGAGAAAGCAGGGGACCUUCGGGCCUUGCGCUAAUAGAUGAGCCUAAGUCGGAUUAGCUAGUUGGUGGGGUAAAGGCCUACCAAGGCGACGAUCUGUAGCGGGUCUGAGAGGAUGGGCCGCCACACUGGGACUGCGACACGGCCCAGACUCCUACGGGAGGCAGCAGUGGGGAAUAUUGGACAAUGGGCGGAAGCCUGAUCCAGCCAUGCCGCGUGUGUGAAGAAGGCCUUUUGGUUGUAAAGCACUUUAAGCGAGGAGGAGGCUACUUAGAUUAAUACUCUAGGAUAGUGGACGUUACUCGCAGAAUAAGCACCGGCUAACUCUGUGCCAGCAGCCGCCGUAAGAC
rnacentral:rRNA from 1 species